rnacentral:rRNA from 1 species
UGGGGAAUAUUGCACAAUGGAGGGAACUCUGAUGCAGCGACGCCGCGUGAACGAAGAAGGCUUUCGAGUCGUAAAGUUCUUUUAUAUGCGAAGAUAAUGACGAUACCAUAAGAAAAAGCCCCGGCUAACUACGUGCCAGCAGCCGCGGUAAUACGUAGGGGGCUAGCGUUGUCCGGAAUCACUGGGCGUAAAGGGUUCGCAGGCGGAAAUGCAAGUCAGGUGUAAAAGGCAGUAGCUUAACUACUGUAAGCAUUUGAAACUGCAUAUCUUGAGAAGAGUAGAGGUAAGUGGAAUUUUUAGUGUAGCGGUGAAAUGCGUAGAUAUUAAAAAGAAUACCGGUGGCGAAGGCGACUUACUGGGCUCAUUCUGACGCUGAGGAACGAAAGCGUGGGUAGCAAACAGG